rnacentral:misc_RNA from 1 species
GAUGAAGAACGCAGCGAAAUGCGAUAAGUAGUGUGAAUUGCAGAAUUCAGUGAAUCAUCGAAUCUUUGAACGCACAUUGCGCCCCUUGGUAUUCCAUGGGGCAUGCCUGUUCGAGCGUCAUUUGUACCCUCAAGCACUGCUUGGUGUUGGGUGUUUGUCCCGCUUUGCGCGUGGACUCGCCUUAAAGCAAUUGGCAGCCGGCAGAUUGGCCUGGAUCGCGAGCACAUUUUGCGACCUUGUCAUAACUGUUUGGCACCCAUCAAGACUAUUUUUUGCUCUUGACCUCGGAUCAGGUAGGGAUACCCGCUGAACUUAAGCAUAUCAAUAGCGGAGGA